UGGGGAAUAUUGGGCAAUGGGCGAAAGCCUGACCCAGCGACGCCGUGUGGGCGAUGAAGGCCUUCGGGUUGUAAAGCCCUGUGAGGUGGAAAGAAGGGCCCAGAGGUUAAUACCCUUUGGGUCUUGACGGUACCACCAGAGGAAGCACCGGCUAACUCCGUGCCAGCAGCCGCGGUAAUACAGAGGGUGCAAGCGUUGUUCGGAAUUACUGGGCGUAAAGGGCGCGUAGGUGGUUGUGUAAGUCAGAUG
rnacentral:rRNA from 1 species